GAAAUGCUGAUGUUCUAAUCUGCUAGAGCAAAACUUCUCAUCCUUACCCUUCUGUUAAGACAUAGCUGGGUACUCGACCAUGGCAAUGGGAUUCCAAAUAGCUUCCUGAAAAGCUACAGUGACAGGUUAGCCAAAGAUUUUGCUGAUACCUUCAGUGCCAUCAGGCUCUGCCUGCUCCUCACGCUGCUUCUGCUUGAACUUCAGGU